rnacentral:rRNA from 1 species
AAUACGUAGGGUGCGAGCGUUGUCCGGAUUCACUGGGUGUAAAGGGUCCGCAGGCGGGUCGGUCAGUCGUUGGUGAAAUUCCAGGGCUCAACUCUGGAACUGCCGACGAUACUGCCGAUCUUGAGUACGGAAGAGGAAGAUGGAAUUCCUGGUGUAGCGGUGAAAUGCGUAGAUAUCAGGAAGAACACCGGUGGCGAAGGCGGUCUUCUGGUCUGUUACUGACGCUCAGGGACGAAAGCGUGGGGAGCAAACAGGAUUAGAUACCCUGGUAGUCCACGCCCUAAACGAUGGAUACUCGAUGUCGGGCCGCAAGGCUCGGUGUCCAAGCUGACGCGUUAAGUAUCUCACCUGGGGAGUACGAUCGCAAGGUU